rnacentral:lncRNA from 1 species
ACUGAAGUGACUUAGCAGUAGCAGCAGCAGGAGGUAAGAAUGGAAGAAGGUGCAAGUAUGGGCUCAAGUAGCAUAGAAAAGUCUACACAGCUGCUGCAGAGGGAAUUUUAUUGGAAAUGAGCAAAACAAGAAAAAUGUUGCUCAGAGAGAUCAUGGUGGGAUUGUUUAGGAGUGCGAAUAGUCCAGGUUGGGCUGGGAGAGAAGUAGACACCAGAAGGCCCCCAGGUAGGGAGAAGAAGAGUUUUGGGGACCAAAGAUUUUGAAACUAGGCAGAACAGGAGGAAGUGGUGGGAGCCCGGGGUAUCAGACUUGCAGUCUGGAGGAGAUGGUUAAGUGAUAUAACCAGGAUCAUAGCAUAGUCCAGUGUGCUGUACUAAGUGGAGGCCAAUUAGGAAGGAGGAGGAGGUCACUGCAGGUGAGAGGUCAGCAUCUGGGUGUGAAAGCCAAGAGGCUGGAGCCAAGAAGAGUGUGGUUGGCCAGGUACCAAGACAGAGAAGAAGCCUAACUGUGAACCUGAGGCUCAGAAAGGCCAAGGGAGGUGAGGCUGGGAGGAAGGUACGACAAGGGAAGAGUGCAGUGGUGACUUCAAAAGCAGGUGGAGAGGAUGUGGGAGGACCGUGCCCGGGAGCGGUGCUGGGGUGGCUGAGUGGAAGGAGUGGUAGGCUUGUGGGAAGCAGGGGCUUCAGGGGACAGCAGCCUCCUGUACCCACCCACCACGGUCCCACAGAUACACCCUUCCUGGUCCCCUCAGGCAAAUGCCACCUCUUUCAUUCACAUGCCCCAAGUUCAAUGCCCAGGAAAGGGAGAGGGGUUCAGGCAGGGUUGUCUCCUGCCUUUCUCCUUCUCCCCGUCAGGCCAAGACAAAGUGGGGAAGAGGGUCUUCCCCAGCCCCCAAUAGUCAGGGUCAGGGCAGCCACCUUGGGGCUGAUGUCACAGCAGGCCUCCAGCCAGAUCUCGAGUCUGUUUUCAUUCCUGCUCCAUGAGACAGGAAUAAUUAAUGAGAAACAGAGAGGGGCAGGGACAGAGUGAAUGAAGAUAUACUCAGAGUCAGAUACCAAAAAGCUAAAUAAAGGGACCUGGAGAGUAAUGAGGGCCCCAGAUUCCUCUGCAUCCAUUAGAGGAUGCUCAGCUUUGCACUAGAUUAGUUCAGGUCACUAGAGCUGGAAUUUGAUCCUGCACCA